UUCCUUUCGAAUUUUUCCUCAGGUUAGCUGGAGUCCACUGCGAGCGACUACAGGUAUCGGGGGAUGAGUAGAUUACGUGACAGCGUCGCCCUCUACAUAUUUUAAAGCUUUAAAUGCGUAAGAUCCAGGGGCCGCUUUAGUAAGUGCUGUGGGCUAUAUGAAGUCCAAGAGGGCAAUCUUCGCUAUGCGGGUCUGGUGAAAAAUGAUGGUUGUCGUGGCUAUUUUCGGUGAUCAAUAGUCGCUUACCAAAAAGCAUGAAAGACGCUGGUUCUUUUUGACACCACGACAGUGCUCAUAGAAAUCAAAGUCCGCUAAGAAACGUGUACUUGCUUUUCAACUUCGGGAACGCGACGGCGCUGCAGUGGAUUCCCGAUGCAAGGGGAGUUUUGCAGGCUUUUGAACACUUCACGUUUUGCUGUAAUGAGUAGGAAGACGCAGGAAUUGUAGCGAAACACAGCCGUGAGCCUAUGGGGAACGGUUUCGGUG
rnacentral:ncRNA from 1 species